rnacentral:rRNA from 1 species
CCUACGGGUGGCUGCAGUGAGGAAUAUUGGUCAAUGGGCGAGAGCCUGAACCAGCCAAGUCGCGUGAGGGAGUACUGCCCUAUGGGUUGUAAACCUCUUUUGUCGGGGAGCAAAAGCCGGACGUGUCCGGCUGUGAGAGUACCCGAAGAAACAGCAUCGGCUAAGUCCGUGCCAGCAGCCGCGGUAAUACGGAGGAUGCGAGCGUUAUCCGGAUUUAUUGGGUUAAAAGGGUGCGUAGGCGGGCAUUUAAGCCGGCGGUCAAAUGUCGGGGCUCAACCCCGGCCUGCCGUCGGAACUGGGUGCCUUGAGUGGGCGAGAAGUAUGCGGAAUGCGUGGUGUAGCGGUGAAAUGCAUAGAUAUCACGCAGAACCCCGAUUGCGAAGGCAGCAUACCGGCGCCCUACUGACGCUGAGGCACGAAAGUGCGGGUAUCGAACAGGAUUAGAUACCCCUGUAGUC